rnacentral:rRNA from 1 species
UGAGGAAUAUUGGUCAAUGGUCGGGAGACUGAACCAGCCAAGCCGCGUGAGGGAUGAAGGUGCUAAGCAUUGUAAACCUCUUUUGUCAGGGAACAAAGGCAUCCACGAGUGGGUGUGUGAGUGUACCUGAAGAAAAAGCAUCGGCUAACUCCGUGCCUGCAGCCGCGGUAAUACGGAGGAUGCGAGCGUUAUCCGGAUUUAUUGGGUUUAAAGGGUGCGUAGGCGGCCUGUUAAGUCAGCGGUAAAAGCCCGGGGCUCAACCCGCGAGCGUUGAACAUGGCUGGCUGGAGUUGGCGAGAGGUAUGCGGAAUGCGCGGUGUAGCGGUGAAAUGCUUAGAUAUCGCGCAGAACUCCGAUUGCGAAGGCAGCAUGCCGGCGCCACACUGACGCUGAGGCACGAAAGCGUGGGGAUCAAACAGGAUUAGAUACC